UACGUAGGGCGCGAGCGUUGUCCGGAAUUAUUGGGCGUAAAGAGCUCGUAGGCGGCCUGGUGCGUCCGCUGUGAAAUCCCGGGGCUUAACCCCGGGCGUGCAGUGGAUACUGGCUGGCUAGAGUCCGGAAGAGGAGAGUGGAAUUCCUGGUGUAGCGGUGAAAUGCGCAGAUAUCAGGAGGAACACCCGUGGCGAAAGCGGCUCUCUGGGACGGUACUGACGCUGAGACGCGAAAGCGUGGGGAGCAAACAGG
rnacentral:rRNA from 1 species